ensembl:lncRNA
CAGGGCUGUUCACAGUUCAGUUAAUGGGACAACAGCCAUCCCAUGGAGGAGCAGCAGGAGGAAACUGUCACUGCUGGAUCAGCUGAAAGGCUGCCAGGAGGCCUGGUGCCCUGGGGGAGCCUGGGACAGAGAGGGGGCUCACGCUGCUAUCUGUGGGACACCUGCUGGGAGUUUCCUGGUUGUGCGGGACUCUGUGACGUCUCAGCCAAGCCUGCUGUGUGUGUCUGCCGGAGCGCAGAAUGAGGAAGUCUUUGAUUAUAAUAUCAAAUGCACAGGAGCAGUUUUCCAACUGUCUGAGUCUCAUCUGUCUUUCUCUGACUUGACUCAGCUGGUGCUCUUCUACUCUCUGACCAGGGAUGUGCUGGAUGUUUGUCUCCACAUUCCUCGCUGGAUCUACAGCGUAACAGACACAAAAAAAGAGCGUCUUUCACAGCUUGAACCUAAAACUUGGCUUUCCACCACCGCCUGAUCAACAGACUGAUCAAAUGUCCCAAAGGGAACCAAGCAGCAUGAUGUGCUCCAUACAGCUGACGUCCACAAACGGGGCCCUGUGUAUCAUCAAUCCCCUCUACCUCCGUGAACACGGAGACGAGUGGCUGACCCACAGGCCAGCUGCCGCACAGCCGUCAAAUUUCAGACGCCUCAGCACCACCCGGCAAUGGGCAGGCGCAGGGUUACAAAGUAAACGAGCCAUCUCUUUGGAGCAAGAAACCCCUGCUCCCAAUACAGAGAGCUCAGGUUUAAUCAGAGCCUGUUCCGCUGAUUCUGCACCAACUGAGCAAACACCAGCAGGGGUGGUCCUCCGGCGGCCCAGUCGGGAUUUAGUAAUCGCCCAGCCUCAGAGGGUGAGCACGGGGAGCCUACCUUCAUCCACUUCCUCCACCCCCAGAAAUGGAACACCUGAGUUGCAGCGCCACAGCAGCCCCGUGCCUCAGUCUCCUCACAGGGUGUCCUGGAUUGAGGAUGGCGUCUGGCUGCCUCCACCCAGGCCUUCUUCCUUGCUCCAGCCUCCAUCACUCGAGCUUGACUCGCUUUCAAUCAGCAGCAUAGAGGAAGAGAUGGAGCCCCAGAUGCUAAGCUCGUCACAUCACCACGCUUCAGCACACCGUUUGGCUGAUAAGGUCCUACAUCGCCUUUCUGCCGUGGGCCAGGCGCUGGGUGGGCUGGUAAGCCAGAGAAAAAGACUGUCCAAUCGUGUGCAAGAGCUGAGUGAGAAGAAAGGUGCUGCAUUUGCAGAGGCUGUGAAGGGAUUUGUGGAGAUGACAUCGAAGAGAGGGACUGAUUCUAGCGGUGUCACAGGGUCGGAGUUCUUACAGGAAGUGAGAUUAUCACUCACAUCACUGAGGGAGACACUGCUGGAAUAUGCAGAAAUCCAGAUGUUACUGGAAAGCAUAACUGACUUAAACGACUCAGAGAUUGACACCCUGGUGGAGCUCUCCAUCCACAAAGUGGCUCUGAAGCCUGUCUCCAGCCACCUCUACUCCUGCAUAGAAACCUCCCGAACCAAUGAUGGCACCUUCGAGCGUCUCCAGAGCAACCUGCGCUUGCUGGAAAAGAACGAGGUGACUGAACUAGGAGGUU